GACGAACGCUGGCGGCGUGCUUAACACAUGCAAGUCGAACGGAAAGGCGCUGCUUUUGUGGGGUGCUCGAGUGGCGAACGGGUGAGUAACACGUGAGUAACCUGCCCUUGACUUUGGGAUAACUUCAGGAAACUGGGGCUAAUACCGGAUAGGAGCUCCUGCUGCAUGGUGGGGGUUGGAAAGUUUCGGCGGUUGGGGAUGGACUCGCGGCUUAUCAGCUUGUUGGUGGGGUAGUGGCUUACCAAGGCUUUGACGGGUAGCCGGCCUGAGAGGGUGACCGGCCACAUUGGGCCUGAGAUACGGCCCAGACUCCUACGGGAGGCAGCAGUGGGGAAUAUUGCACAAUGGGCGGAAGCCUGAUGCAGCAACGCCGCGUGCGGGAUGACGGCCUUCGGGUUGUAAACCGCUUUCGCCUGUGACGAAGCGUGAGUGACGGUAAUGGGUAAAGAAGCACCGGCUAACUACGUG
rnacentral:rRNA from 1 species